AUCUGUGUCCAUUUCACCCUGAACGUGCCAAACCUCCUCUCAUCUCAGAAGCUAAGCAGGGUCAGGCCUCCUUAACAUUCGGAUGGGAGACCACCUGGGACUACUGGGGGCCGUAGGGC
ensembl:rRNA 5S_rRNA 5S ribosomal RNA